CCUACGGGAGGCAGCAGUGGGGAAUUUUGGACAAUGGGCGCAAGCCUGAUCCAGCCAUGCCGCGUGCGGGAAGAAGGCCUUCGGGUUGUAAACCGCUUUUGUCAGGGAAGAAAUCCCUUGGGCUAAUACCCCGGGGGGAUGACGGUACCUGAAGAAUAAGCACCGGCUAACUACGUGCCAGCAGCCGCGGUAAUACGUAGGGUGCGAGCGUUAAUCGGAAUUACUGGGCGUAAAGCGUGCGCAGGCGGUUUUGUAAGACAGAGGUGAAAUCCCCGGGCUCAACCUGGGAACUGCCUUUGUGACUGCAAGGCUUGAGUGCGGCAGAGGGGGAUGGAAUUCCGCGUGUAGCAGUGAAAUGCGUAGAUAUGCGGAGGAACACCGAUGGCGAAGGCAAUCCCCUGGGCCUGCACUGACGCUCAUGCACGAAAGCGUGGGGAGCA
rnacentral:rRNA from 1 species